rnacentral:misc_RNA from 1 species
UGUAACACGGAACGCAAAGAUCAG